rnacentral:rRNA from 1 species
GUCUCCGGACCAAACGUGUGAUUCCGCCGGAGGAGAGGCCCACGUCCUAUCAGCUAGUUGGCGAGGUAAUAGCUCACCAAGGCGACGACGGGUACGGGGUGUGAGAGCAUGCCCCCGCUCACUGGGACUGAGACACUGCCCAGACACCUACGGGUGGCUGCAGUCGAGAAUCUUCCGCAAUGGGCGAAAGCCUGACGGAGCGACGCCGCGUGCGGGAUGAAGGCCUUCGGGUUGUAAACCGCUGUCAGUGGGGAGGAAAUGCACGGGGGUUCUCCCUCGUGUUUGACCGAUCCGCAGAGGAAGCACAGGCUAAGUUCGUGCCAGCAGCCGCGGUAACACGAACUGUGCAAACGUUAUUCGGAAUCACUGGGCUUAAAGAGUUCGUAGGCGGCGCGUUAAGUCGGGUGUGAAAUCCCUCGGCUCAACCGAGGAAUUGCGCCCGAAACUGGCGUGCUUGAGUGAGAUAGAGGUGAGCGGAACUGAUGGUGGAGCGGUGAAAU